AUUGAACGCUGGCGGCAGGCUUAACACAUGCAAGUCGAGCGGAGAUGAGGUGCUUGCACCUUAUCUUAGCGGCGGACGGGUGAGUAAUGCUUAGGAAUCUGCCUAUUAGUGGGGGACAACAUUCCGAAAGGAAUGCUAAUACCGCAUACGCCCUACGGGAGAAAGCAGGGGAUCUUCGGACCUUGCGCUAAUAGAUGAGCCUAAGUCGGAUUAGCUAGUUGGUGGGGUAAAGGCCUACCAAGGCGACGAUCUGUAGCGGGUAUGAGAGGAUGAUCCGCCACACUGGGACUGAGACACGGCCCAGACUCCUACGGGAGGCAGCAGUGGGGAAUAUUGGACAAUGGGGGAAACCCUGAUCCAGCCAUGCCGCGUGUGUGAAGAAGGCCUUAUGGUUGUAAAGCACUUUAAGCGAGGAGGAGGCUACUGAGACUAAUACUCUUGGAUAGUGGACGUUACUCGCAGAAUAAGCACCGGCUAACUCUGUGCCAGCCGCCGCGGUAA
rnacentral:rRNA from 1 species